rnacentral:rRNA from 1 species
GACGAACCGAGCGAACGUUGUUCGGAAUCACUGGGCUUAAAGGGCGCGUAGGCGGGUGCUCAAGUCUGUGGUGAAAUCCUCCAGCUCAACUGGAGAACUGCCAUGGAUACUGGGUGUCUCGAGGAAGGUAGGGGUAUGCGGAACGAUCAGUGGAGCGGUGAAAUGCGUUGAUAUUGAUCGGAACUCCGGUGGCGAAGGCGGCAUACUGGACCUUUUCUGACGCUGAGGCGCGAAAGCUAGGGGAGCAAACGGG